rnacentral:tRNA from 3 species
GCGCGGAUGGCGGAAUUGGUAGACGCGCUAGCUUGAGGUGCUAGUGCCUGUAAAGGCGUGGGGGUUCAAGUCCCCCUUCGCGCA